AUUAGGGUUCGAUUCCGGAGAGGGAGCCUGAGAAACGGCUACAAUCUAAGGAAGGCAGCAGGCGCGCAAAUUACCCAAUCCUAAUACAGGGAGGUAGUGACAAGAAAUAACAAUACAGGACUUUUUGGUUUUGUAAUUGGAAUGAGUUAAGUAUAAACCCCUUUACAAGUAUCAAUUGGAGGGCAAGUCUGGUGCCAGCAGCCGCGGUAAUUCCAGCUCCAAUAGCGUAUAUUAAAGUUGUUGCAGUUAAAAAGCUCGUAGUUGGAUUUCUGUUAAUAAUUUAUAUAAAAUAUUUUGAUGAAUAUUUAUAUAAUAUUAACAUAAUUCAUAUUACUAUAUAUUUUAGUAUAUGAAAUUUUACUUUGAGAAAAUUAGAGUGCUUAAAGCAGGCAUAUGCCUUGAAUACUCCAGCAUGGAAUAAUAUUAAAGAUUUUUAUCUUUCUUAUUGGUUCUAAGAUAAGAAUAAUGAUUAAUAGGGACAGUUGGGGGCAUUUGUAUUUAACAGUCAGAGGU
rnacentral:rRNA from 1 species